rnacentral:snoRNA from 1 species
UCCAACGUGGACACCCCGGGAGGUCACUCUCCCCGGGCUCUGUCCAGGUGGCAUAGGGGAGCACAGGGCUCUGCCCGAUGACGUACAGUCCCUUCCCACGCCGUUGGAGAGGAAGCGGGCCUCGAGUCUGCGCCUGCAUAUUCCUACAGCUUCCCAGAGUCCUGUGGACAAUGACUGGGGAGACAAACCAUGCAGGAAACAGUC